GUUUUUGACAGGGAAAGGCAGAGCCAGAGUCAGGGCAGGCCCUGGGCGGGCUCCUAGAGAGCCCAACCACCCUCUAAUAAGGGGUGCUCUCCACCCUAUCUGAGGAGCAAUUGGGAUCUCCUAGGAAGUGAAACUGUUACGUAUGUCUUAUUACAGAAUUUCCAGUGGAGUGAUUCUGGAAGAAAUGUGUAUGGCAUGUUGUGACUGCUAUGUCUCAUGAAAUAUUUACGUUUUUAUGUAACUUUUUUCCAUUUUCAGAUCAUCUUUUAUUUUAACGCAAAAUGACAAUAUAUUUUUCAAUUAAUUUGCCCAAUAUCUGUGUUUAAAUGUUUUCUAAUGCACACACGUGUUUUAAACUCAUUAAAAAAAUAUGACUUAGA
rnacentral:lncRNA from 1 species